GACGAACGCUGGCGGCGUGCUUAACACAUGCAAGUCGAACGGAAAGGCCUCUUUCGGGGGGUACUCGAGUGGCGAACGGGUGAGUAACACGUGAGUAACCUGCCCUUGACUUUGGGAUAACUUCAGGAAACUGGGGCUGAUACCGGAUAGGAGCUCCUGCUGCAUGGUGGGGGUUGGAAAGUUUCGGCGGUUGGGGAUGGACUCGCGGCUUAUCAGCUUGUUGGUGGGGUAGUGGCUUACCAAGGCUUUGACGGGUAGCCGGCCUGAGAGGGUGACCGGCCACAUUGGGACUGAGAUACGGCCCAGACUCCUACGGGAGGCAGCAGUGGGGAAUAUUGCACAAUGGGUGGAAGCCUGAUGCAGCAACGCCGUGUGCGGGAUGACGGCCUUCGGGUUGUAAACCGCUUUCGCUCAUGACGAAGCUUUGUGUGACGGUAGUGGGUAAAGAAGCACCGGCUAACUACGUG
rnacentral:rRNA from 1 species